ensembl:snRNA U6 U6 spliceosomal RNA
GUGCUCCCUUUGGCAGUACAUAUGCUAAAAUUGGAAUGAUACAGAGAAGAUUGGCAUGGCCCCUGCGCUUGAAUGACACGCUAAUUCCUGAAGCAUUCAAUUUUUUU